rnacentral:rRNA from 1 species
UCGAGAAUAGUCUACAAUGGACGAAAGUCUGAUAGUGCGACGCCGCGUGAGUGAGGAAGGCCUUCGGGUCGUAAAGCUCUGUCAAAGGGACAGAAAUGUAUAAUGGCUAAUACCUGUUAUAUUUGACGGUACCCUUAAAGGAAGCACCGGCUAACUCCGUGCCAGCAGCCGCGGUAAUACGGAGGGUGUAAGCGUUGUUCGGAAUUACUGGGCGUAAAGGGCGCGUAGGCGGUUUGAUAAGUCAGAUGUGAAAGCCCACGGCUUAACUGUGGAAGUGCAUUUGAUACUGUCAGACUUGAGUACCAGAGGGGAAAGUGGAAUUCCCGGUGUAGAGGUGAAAUUCGUAGAUAUCGGGAGGAAUACCGGUGGCGAAGGCGACUUUCUGGCUGGAUACUGACGCUGAGGCGCGAAAGCGUGGGGAGCAAACA